UACGGAGGGUGCAAGCGUUGUCCGGAUUUAUUGGGUUUAAAGGGUACGUAGGCGGAUGUUUAAGUCAGUGGUGAAAGCCUGCAGCUUAACUGCAGAAUUGCCAUUGAUACUGAAUAUCUUGAGUACAGUAGAGGUGGGCGGAAUUCAUGGUGUAGCGGUGAAAUGCAUAGAUACCAUGAGGAACACCGAUAGGGAAGCCAGCUCACUGGACUGUAACUGACGCUAAGGUACGAAAGCGUGGGGAGCGAACAGG
rnacentral:misc_RNA from 1 species